rnacentral:lncRNA from 1 species
CGGGUCGGGGCUAGGGCUCCUGCCCUGGCAGAGAUCUUCGCUCUUCCGUGGUGGCCGGGGACCGGGCAGUGAGCGGCCGGCUCUGCCGCCCGCGGGGCGCGGGUUUGCAAGGUGUGGCAACUCCUUCCCAGUGGAGGAAGCGACUGUUCCAAGAGCCAGUUUUGGAAUUGUAGGCACAAACACAGGAGAAUGUGGUCAGUGUUUCAGCCAGUGCUUGCUGCUGAGGCAGGAGAGAAUAAUUGUGUAAAGAGGGGGCUCCCGCAGUGCAGGACAGGAAGCCACCAUGUGAGCACCACAUCCACGUGCAGGUCGCAGGCUUCAUCAUGUCCUGAAUACCAUGCCUUAGCAUUUUAUAUUUCAGGUUUCUACUUCUACAUCUCCAGCCCUGAAUACUCAUGGAAUAUCGCUGUACCUAUGACAGAGUGAAUGCUGAAACUUGGAAGCCAACUGACAAGAUGCCAGGGAUGGCAUGGCAAGGAAGAGAGAGCCUUCAUGGCAAUUUUGAAUACCUGAUCUCUUGCUUUCAUCAUCUUGUCUAGGGGAAGAAACACGGAGCCUGGUAGUUGGGAGGUGAGAGGCAGGAAUGGAUACCAGAGAUGGACAGACAGUGGGGUGGUGAGAAGGGAGCUGCAAUUUGCUAAUCCUUGUAGUACUACCUGUCAAUCAUCUUGCUUUCCUUAAUCAUCGAUCCUGGAGAGACUUUGAGGAAAGGGCUGGUGGAGUUGCGCAGAUGUGAUCUUCAUUUCAGCCUUAUGAAUACAUACCAAGGUCUCUUUAAAUCUGUGGUUCCUGCACAAAGUGCUGUGACUUCAGGCUAAUAGAGAGGUCCAGAUGUCACAUGUGCCAAUUAGAAAGAAAUGAGGACCAUGGCUAUGGCCCACUGUGUUCAGAAGACACGCCCAAGCCACCCAUUGUCAUUCAUUGUGUCUAAUACUUGACCUGUCCUGCUGUUUAUUAUGUGGGGUGGCUCCAUAUUUUAAAAACUGUAUUCAUAAAAAGAUAUUUCUCAUCCUGCUGAGUCUCAGGCCCAUUGUUGUAGGUGAGGUGGUUUCUUUUGUUUGAUAUAUAACGUUUUGCUGACUUUCGACUUGGGAAUUGCAAAGGCUUACCCAAAACCCUGAAGGAAAAGCUAAGAAUUCAUACUUAUUAAGCACUUGGUAGGUGUCUGACACUGUAGUAGAUAUAUGCGAGAGCCCAGAACAAGCUGAUGUCCAUGUACAUAUCUUUAAAAAAUAUAAUGAUCUAGUCUUAUCUGUGGAAACUGCUUCAGAUACUGAUCUUACUCUUUCCUGUUACAUCAGAAAUUCUGGAAGGUAAUAUCCUGAAAGAUUU